rnacentral:rRNA from 1 species
UACGUAGGGGGCAAGCGUUAUCCGGAUUUACUGGGUGUAAAGGGAGCGUAGACGGUAAAGCAAGUCUGAAGUGAAAUGCCAGUGCUCAACACUGGAACUGCUUUGGAAACUGUUUGGCUGGAGUGCAGGAGAGGUAAGUGGAAUUCCUAGUGUAGCGGUGAAAUGCGUAGAUAUUAGGAGGAACACCAGUGGCGAAGGCGGCUUACUGGACUGUAACUGACGUUGAGGCUCGAAAGCGUGGGGAGCAAAUAGG